UCAGGUGGAAAGCGUGGGAGCAACCAGGAUUAGAUACCCUGUAGUCCACGCCGUAAACGAUGUCGACUUGGAGGUUGUUCCUGAGGAGUGGCUUCCGGAGCUAACGCGUUAAGUCGACCGCCUGGGGAGUACGGCCGCAAGGUUAAAACUCAAAUGAAUUGACGGGGGCCCGCACAAGCGGUGGAGCAUGUGGUUUAAUUCGAUGCAACGCGAAGAACCUUACCUACUCUUGACAUCCAGCGAAUUUAGCAGAGAUGCUUUGGUGCCUUCGGGAACGGUGAGACAGGUGCUGCAUGGCUGUCGUCAGCUCGUGUUGUGAAAUGUUGGGUUAAGUCCCGCAACGAGCGCAACCCUUAUCCUUUGUUGCCAGCGAUUCGGUCGGGAACUCAAAGGAGACUGCCGGUGAUAAACCGGAGGAAGGUGGGGAUGACGUCAAGUCAUCAUGGCCCUUACGAGUAGGGCUACACACGUGCUACAAUGGCGCAUACAAAGAGAAGCGACCUCGCGAGAGCAAGCGGACCUCACAAAGUGCGUCGUAGUCCGGAUCGGAGUCUGCAACUCGACUCCGUGAAGUCGGAAUCGCUAGUAAUCGUGGAUCAGAAUGCCACGGUGAAUACGUUCCCGGGCCUUGUACACACCGCCCGUCACACCAUGGGAGUGGGUUGCAAAAGAAGUAGGUAGCUUAACCUUCGGGAGGGCG
rnacentral:rRNA from 1 species